CUGGGGGUGUUGGUGAAACGAGACUCACCCAGAUGGCAUCUGGGAGCAGACAUACAGGGUGUUCUCUGAAGCUCUCAGGUGCCAUGUAAUUUUGGGAGUAUUUUGUCUUAUAGGGUGGAUAUGGACAAAGACAUGGAUAUCUGCUCGCCCAGGAGUAAAGGGACAUCACUGUCAAGCACAAGCAGACAUAGGUUGCUGAUCCAGGGCACCAGUGGACACAGGAGAUGAAGAUGUUUACAUCUACAAGGUCAUCAGUCAGCUCGAGAUUCCACAGUGAGUCAGUCUUCUGUCCUCCCAACCAAUUGCUAAGACCAGCUCCCAGCGGCGCUAGAGGGAUUAAAGACACAGACACAGAAAUAGAGUGUAGAGUGGGGAUCAGGGGCUGACAGCCUUCAGAGCUGAGAGCCACAAAUGGAGUUUGACCCACAUAUUUAUUGACAGUAAGCCAGUGAUAAGCAUUGCUUCUAUAGAUUAUAGAUUAGCUAAAAGCAUUCCUUAUGGGAAACAAAGCAUUCCUAGCGAGGAGCAGAGAAACAGGCCCUGGCUGAUGUCUGCAGUAAAAGCAUGUUGUUAAGGCACAGGCCGUUCCUGCUAUUGCUUGUGGUUUGAGCAAUUUUCCACUCUGGGCAGGCCGGGUUUUCCUUGCCCUGCUCCAAUAAACAAAAAACUUCUAGCAGUGUGCGUGAUAGCCAUCACAAGCAUGUCACAUUGCUGCAGAAAUCCUGUUUAUGGCCAGUUGCUUUAAGGCCUGUUUAUGCCAGGGCUAGGGCUUGUUCUCAGCAACCAAUCUUGUCUCAGGGAUGGGUUUUAUUUUUGGAAAAGUUCCUCUGAAGCAGGACAUAUGUCCUUGGCUCAGCCCAAUCUCCAUCCCAGGGUCGGAACUCCUCCCCAGCUCCCCUACAGGUCCAGCCUAAGUCAGCGUUACCAGAGCUGAGUGGCACAUCAAGAGAACGCUGGAGAGCAGGUGGGACGAGUUGGGGCUGGGCCAGGUUCCUGGGCUCUGAGCAGCAUGAUCUCCAAGUCAGCAUGAGAGGAGGGGGCAGCCUGAGGGGCUGGCCCUGUUCCUUGGAGCCUGCAGUGGCAGACUAAUGGCAGGGCCCAGCCACCCACCCCGGGCAGUACUGUCCCGUCUGAGGACUGGACUUUCUCAGCCCAUGCAGAGUAUGCUGCCUCCAGCCCAGGAGGGACAGCCCCAUUAGGUAGCCUGACACCCAUUGGGCCCCCAGCAGCCCCUGCCUGGCCUUGUGCUCCCUCUGCUCCCGAGUCCUAGGCCCUCCUGCGGGUGAGCCCAUAGAAAGACCCUCUUCCAUUCCCUAUGUGGCCUCCUGGACUGAUACCUGGGGUAGAUGAGGGUGGGGCUGGUCCUUCCCUGGGGCUCACUCUCCCACAGUUGCUUUACAGUGAGACACAGCUGUCCCCAUCAGUGCCCUGGAGACAAAAGUAAGAGCUUGUUCCUGAUGUAUGAGAAGCCGGUCCAUAAAUAAGAGACCUGGCUGAUGGUCAGUGAGGCAGAGGGGGUGGCCUGUAGGCAUGGGUGGUGGUGAGUGGGAGCGACAUGCCACCACUGGGAGGACCCACAGUUCCUGCUGGACCUGACCUCAAGACUCUGUCCCUGCCCAGCACUGAGAACCACAAUAGUGGCUCAGGGGCUGCUGCUUACUUGUGCCGGGACCCCACCUGGAGGCUGAGACCUGACCAAAGCCCAGAGUGUCUAUGGCCUGAAGGAUGUGUGUCCUGAGGUCACAAGUCCAGGCCACUGGCGCCCACUCGGUCAGAGUAUCUCAGCCCCAGAGUCUUCCCUUUUCUGGGUCAUUCCAGUUCUGUCCCAUCAGGAACCCUGAGCACAAGACCCAGCAUCAAAGGGCCACUCCAGGAAGCAUGGCAGGUCUACUAACUCUAUCAUCUUGUUUUACAGAAUAAACAUCAGGAGAUCAGACAUACAGAUAAAUGGCUAACAAUGUUUAACAGCUGGAAUAAAUAUAGGAACAGCAGGAACGUGACACGGAGACUGAGGGCCCCCGUGACCACUCUCCACAGAGUUGGGGUGAUAAGAAUCCAUUACUGUUGGCUGGCCCUGCCUGCCUCUCAGAGAGCAGACAGCAUGCUGUUAUCACCUAGAGGACAGCAGGCCUGAUCCCCAGCUUUUCUUCCCAUCUUUAACAGAGUCACUCUGCUGGGAGAGAAUCUGAUGCCAGGGCCUGGGCCAUCCCUAAAUGAGGGUUAGGGACACCUCCUGAUGUCUUGAAGGAAGAAAUAGGUCCAGAUCAGAAUUCACAACCCUGAGUGCUCACCCACUCUUUAACCUUGGGAGAGGAGGCCGGGUCCUAGAUAGGCACAACCUCUCCAGAUGAACCAUGGAGCCAAAAGCUGGGGAUUCUGGGAAUCUUCCAGAAUCCUCAGGUUUUGAUCCUUCCCGGACCUUCUCAUCAAAGACUUCUUCUGUCCAUAGAUGUCUCAGCUGGCCUACAAGGGAACCCCCCUGCAGAUGUGCAGUCAGGCAUGGUCAUUCCUGCUGGAUAUCAAGAAGGUGAAGGCUGAAAACCCAAGUAAGUACCAGGUAUGGUCCUUCCACACUCAGCUAGAGCAGAACAAACAGGCCAGGCCGUGUCAGCAGCCCAGGUCUUUAGCUAGAGGAAAAGUCAAGCCUGGGUGAUAGUCAGUCCCAUAUCCUAGGCACAGACGAUGGCAUGGGAACCACAAGUGAACUGGGCUCUGGUGACCCUCCGUGGCUUUGGAAAUAAGGUAAAGAAGGAUAUUUCUGGGGAAAAAAAAAAAAUCUCCUUUCCUUCCAGAAGUGCUGAAUGUUUUAUGAUUGCUGUUUGUAAUAGUGAGCCUUUUGUCUGUUCUGAGGCUGGUUCCUUCCUCAGCCUUGCCCUAAAGAAAAUAAAGGAGCAGGGCAAGAUGUCCUCAGUGAAAAUAAACCAGAUUGACCUGGACAUGAACUGCACCUUCAGACACCAUGUCAUGUUUUAGGAGCGCUACAGAGUCAGGUAAGACCUAUGGGGGAUGGAGGGUCCCAGGGGAGAUGGAGGAAUUCAGAGGAAUAGGGGCAUUCCAUGCAGGAGUCCAAGAUAGGAGGUGGCACAGUCCCCCAAGGGAUCUCCUGGCCAGGGAGCAGUCAGCAUCACCGAGCAUCUACUGAGCUCCAAACCAUGGGCCAAGCUGGGGCAUGUGGGUCCAGAAUCCACGUGGCUACUGAGGAAACAAGCAGUAGCAAACAAAAUCAUGCUGCAUGGUGAAAAGUUCUCUCCAUAACCCACAAGUACCUGGGGUAGAGACCCACGAGAGGGGCUCAGACUUCACAGGCAACACUGACAACACCAAACACCAUGGAGGAGGUGGAGCCGCAGAACUCUGUCCAUCGCUGCUGCAAAAUGCUGCUACUGCUGAAUGCAAAAUGGUACAGCCUCCUUGGAAGACAGUUGGGAAAUUGCUCACAAAGCUAAAUGUACUUGUACCACAUGACCAUAAGUGUCAUAGACAUUGACCUAGCUGACUUGAAAAUUUAUGUCCAACUAAAACCUACAUGUCACA